GAGACGGGACUCGUUCCGCGAGAACUUACGGCGGCGGGCCGGCGGCUCAUGAACCCUAUAAUUUGGGCGCGGCGGCGGCCGACGAAAUCGCGGCCGAGCCGGUCGGGCGGUCAGAUGCGGCUGCCGGGCGGCGGUGUCGGGGAGGCGGAUCAACCUAUGGAAACCUCGGUCGUGGGGGUGUGGGGGUUUGGUUGGGCGCGUGAUCGCCUGAAACAGCAAUGCGGCUAUCGGAUGGCUGAAAUCAUAACUGCAUUUUGUCAAAUUGGCGUGACGAAUAAGGUUGCAGUAUCAGUUGCAGCAGGGGCAAGAAAGUGAAAUACGGCUCAUUUGGCUGUGGCAACGUGGCAUUCUCACUGGCUAGCAUCAUAACAACUGAAGACAUCAAUGGUCUGUUCUUGGGUUCCACUUCAACGCACAACAGAGCGACGUGUACACAUCUCAACACUUCGUUGUCAUCAAAGAUGUCUCCAAUUAACUCAUCCAGGCCGAAUCCACCUUCCCCAAUCUUAUUAUGCGCUGCGAAUCUGUCUGUUGCGUUGAAAAUCAUCUCAAGAUCAAACAACGGAAGGUCAAGAUCAUCUUCAGCACCCCUGUUCUCAUCAAACCAUUGAUCCCUUGCUGGGCUCAACGCAGGGCUUUUCCUUACCCUGAACGGAAGAUCAUCGGCAUCACUGCUUUUCUCCAUUUCAGUGUGCUGCUUCCUCCUCGCCUUGUUCCUCCAAAAACAGUAACAGCCAACAACUCCUAAAAUGCCACAGAUAGUCGUGACCACGGCGAUCACCGUGUUCUUGAUUAAGCGCCGGCGUCUUGCUGCAAUCAAAUAGAGGUAAACACAUUUAGAUGUUUUUGUGGUCUCGUGUGAUAAUUUUGCUGAUCAAGUAUGACUUUUUAAACUUACGCGUCAAAAUGAUCUGUCCUACUUCCUUCGUUUCACAAUAUAUGACUUUCUAGCA